AGAAGCCUGUUACCAGAAGCACUGGUUACUUCCCCCGUCCUCUCAGCUCUGGGAAGGGUGGGGUGGUCAUGAAGUCCUGAGAGAGCAGAGGGACACACCAACUUCUCUUGUUGGUUCCCUCAACCCUGCCCAUACCUAUGGGUAAUCAGAGAUGGAUUCAGUCUCCAGUUAGGAUCCUCAUCAAGGUAUUUGUAUGGGGGAUUCCAUGCAGAUGGUGUAUAGAGAGAAGAUAGACACAAGGGAUCUUCAUAGCCAAGGACUGGAUUUGAACAAGUCAGUCUCCAGCUAUGUUUUAGACACUGAGGACUGUGCCCGUCAUCCCUUAGAGCUUCUCUCUGGGCCACUGGCUCGAAGGGCACAUCUCAGGGAAAAAGGUCAGUGUGAUUCCCUUAUUUCUUUGUGGAAAGACCUCAGUAGCCAAAGGUGUUUGCCCGUGUUAUUUGUCUGAACAAGAUCUUCUCUAGGACAGCUAGGUCCACAGGACAGCACCAAGAGUUACUCUGCAUGCUUAUAGUACCUGCUUACGAACAGAAACAGAGGCAAUAUUCACAUGAAAGCUCAAAUGUGGAUCUCUCCUACCAUAGUCACGUCUUCACAAGCUGACAGCCCUCUCAAUUCUGAGAUUUGUUAUUCAGUCUUUUCCCAAUAGGAUCUACAAAGCACCUCUUGACCAUUUAUCAUGCAUGGAACCAACAUGUCAAAUUCCUCAAUAACUGAUUCCCGCCUAGGAUCACACUCAUUGACUAGCUCCGCCAAUUCUUACAAUUCAUUCAGGCUCUGCUACAAGCAUACAGCUUUGCUAGAAGUAGAUUUCUUCUAGGAAAUUUCAUGCUACUGAGAGGUUGUGUGGCAGAGCCAUGUUGCCAUUCUUCCAGCAUGACUUGAUAGCUAAGUUGAACACUAUCCCAAGGAGAUGCCUCCUUGACAACUUACACUGCAAAGUGAAUCAUAACCCUGACCCUGGAGACUGCUAUAACGGGCUCCUGUGAGAGUUCUAUUUGCAGAACCCAGAAUUCACAACGGAACAUCAACAUAUCCAAAAGACAAGUUUCAAUGAACAGAUUCUCAGCAAAAGGACUCUAAGGAUGCAGAGGAAGGGAAGUCACCCAAUCUGGGAAGGAGGUUUUUAUUAAGUAUAAAAACAGGUCAUCCACACAUAGCAAUGUGCUUUUCUAGAGAAAACCAUCCUACUCACCGAGAGCCAGGAUUGAGAUUACUCAGUCUCGGGUAUGUGUAUCAGCAAUGUGAAAACGGACUAGUACAUCUCUAGAGGCACAUGCCAUGUGGUCCAGCCAUAAUUAUUUGUUGUCACAACUAAGUUUCCUUUCUAUAUGAAAAGAUUAUAUUGAUCAGAAUUCUAAA
rnacentral:lncRNA from 1 species